GACGAACGCUGGCGGCGUGCUUAACACAUGCAAGUCGAACGGUAAGGCCCUGCUUUUUUGGUGUGUUCGAGUGGCAAACGUGUGUGUAACACGUGAAUCACCUGCCCUUGACUUUGGUAUAACUUCAGGAAACUGUGUCUUAUUCCGUAUAGGAGCCCCUGCUGCAUUGUGGGGGUUGGAAAGUUUUUGCGGUUGGGGAUGGACUCGCGGCUUAUCAGCUUGUUGGUGGGGUAGUGGCUUACCAAGGCGUUGACGGGUAGCCGGCCUGAGAGGGUGACCGGCCACAUUGGGACUGAGAUACGGCCCAGACUCCUACGGGAGGCAGCAGUGGGGAAUAUUGCACAAUGGGCGGAAGCCUGAUGCAGCAACGCCGCGUGAGGGAUGACGGCCUUCGGGUUGUAAACCGCUUUCGGCAGUGAAGAAGCGUAAGUGACGGUAAUGGGUAAAGAAGCACCGGCUAACUACGUG
rnacentral:rRNA from 1 species